rnacentral:rRNA from 1 species
UACGAGAGGCCCGAACGUUAUUCGGAAUUACUGGGCUUACAGAGUUCGUAGGCGGCCCAGAAAGUUGGGUGUGAAAUCCCUCGGCUCAACCGAGGAAUUGCGCUCAAAACUACUGGGCUUGAGGGGUAUAGAGGUAAGCGGAACUGAUGGUGGAGCGGUGAAAUGCGUUGAUAUCAUCAGGAACACCGGUGGCGAAGGCGGCUUACUGGGUACCUCCUGACGCUGAGGAACGAAAGCUAGGGGAGCGAACGGG